UCCUUCCUUCCUUCCUUCCUCUUCUUUUUUCUCCCAUCCUUCCUUCCUCUGUUCCUUCCCUCCUCCUCCUCCUUCUCCUCUCCUCCUCCUUCUUCUCUCUCCCCUCCCUCUCUCCCUCUCUCUUUCUCUCACUAGAGUUAUCACUGGAACUCAGUGUCUGCAUGAGUCCAUCACUCCCUACAGUCUUCUCUCUUUCUUUUUGAUAGAGGGUAACAGACAGAGAGAAGAAGGAGAGAAAAUGAGGGACCGUGCGGCACUACUCCCCAUUUCUCUCAAAGUUUCCGACCUUCUAGGUCUUCCUGUGUAAUAGCCCUGGGGCUCGAACCUGGUUGCUCAGGCUAGGCAACUUGUGCACUCUACUGGAUGAACCACCAAACUGUCUCCUGAAACUUUCUUUCUCUCUCUCUUUCUUUCUUUCUUUCUUUCUUUCUUUCUUUCUUUCUUUCUUUCUUUCUUUCUUUCUUUCUUUCUUUUUGGCACCAGGGCUCUUGCUGGGGCUCAGUGCCUGUCCUAUCAAUUCACUGCUCCUGGCAGCUUUUUUCUUGUUCUUUUUAUUUGGGUAGGACACAGAGAAAAUGAAAGGGGCUGGGAAUUUAGGAUGAGAGAGACACCAGCAGUCUUUCUUCACUCUCCGUAAAGCUUCCCCUCUGCUGGUGGGGGCAGGGCCUGUGUUCUUGCUCUUGGUAAUGUGUGUGCUCAACCAAGGGCAACAUCAGCCAGACCCUGAAGAAAUUGAGAUGAUUUGCAAUAUAGCAUGAAACUGAGGGGGGAAAUGACAUCCAGUGAAGAAGGUCACUGAGGCUUGCUGUGUGCUUUGAAGCCUUACUAUGUUCUGGUUAUUGAUAAUUUUCAAAAAUACUUAUUAAUUUAAGAAAGAGAGAGAGAGAGAGAGAGAGAGAGAGAGGUGCCAGAGCAUAGCUUCCACACCUGUGGUGCUAAGGAUGAAACGUUAUAGACAGAAGGAAUCUAUUCUACUCACUCUGCUACCUCCCCGGUGGCCUGGAUAACACUUCUCAGCCUGUACACAGAUUUCACAGUGGGACCUGGAAGUGGCCAGGAGGGACCGGGACCCUUAAGGUGCUCCAAGCUCAACAAAGAAGAAGCUACAGUUCCAGGAAUGCUCAGGACAUGCCUCUUCUUCUGAGAGUCAGGAGGUGGGGGCCUGGGGCUUGAACGCAGCCCCUUGUACUUUGUAACGUGUGCGCUUAACCAGGUGCACCACCACUUGGCCCCAAGAGAUGAGUUUCUUAUCAUUAAAUAUGAUGCUGAUUUGUAGGGUGUUGUGUGUGUGUGUUUUUUGUGUGUGUGCCCUUUAUCAAGAUUCUCCUAUAUCCUCAUUUUACUGAGAGUUUAUACUAUGAAUAGGUGUUGGAUUUCCUCAAGUGUCUUUUCUGUAUGGACUGGUAUAAUCAUGUGAUGUGUCUCUUUUCGUCAGUUGAUGUGAUGAAUUAUAUUAAUUGAUUUUUGAUGUUGAAGCAGUGUUGACUGUAGAGUAUAGUUCCUUUUUAAUUUCUUUAUCAGGGGAUUAAUGGUUUACAGUUGACAGUAAAUACAAUACUAUGCACAUGUGUAACAUUUCCCAGUUUCCCGCAUAACAGUUCAACCCUCACUAGGUCCUCUGCCAUCGUGCUCCAGCACCUGAACCAGCUCCCCUCCCAGAGUCCUUUACGCUGGUAAGUUACCAACUCCAGCCCAAGUUCUGUUUAGUGUCUUCCCUUCUGACCUUAUGAUGAGUAUGAUUCUUUUAUAACCAGUUGGGAUUCACUUUGCUAAUAUUUUGUUGAAGAUUCUUACAUUUCUUUCAUUAAAGGCCUUCCUCUCUCUUUUUCUUUCUUCCUUUCUUCUUUUCUCUUUUUUUUCUUUUUAUUUUAGAUAAAGAUAGAUAGAUAGAAAUAGAGAGAAAGAGACUGAAAGAGACCAAAAUUCUCUUUAAGGUAGUGGGGUCAGUCUUAAACCUGGGUCGCUCACAUGGUAAAGGAGUCCACUGUCCAUCCAAGUGUUUUCUUUUUACUUCUCUAUUUUUCUUAUAAAGCUUUUUUUGGUUUUACUAUUGAAGGUAACGUUGGCCUCAAACAAUAAGCUGGGUAGUAUUCCCUCUACUGGAAUAAGAUUUUUUAACAACACAAUUUGGUAAGAAAUAAAUUUCAAACUGUCUUUUAAAACAGCACAUAUUGAAUUUCCUUCAGGAAAUGACAUAGAAUUUUAAUUCCAGGACUUUAGGUAAUAAUGUAUCUUAAAAACACCACAGCUAUAGUUACAAAACAUCUAUAUCCCUAGAUCUGAGCUCAUAUUCUGUGGUCAUGAGUAGGAACGUUCCAAGCCGCCCAAUUUCAGGACCCAUCUUCCUCAGGUGGUAGACAGAGUAUGUUGUUCAGCCUCCCUUAGGAGGAUGGAACAUUUUCUACCAUUGUUGAUCCACGUUGGGGGCAAAGUUCUAUAGAGGCCUCCAAAGGGAUCUAUUGUCUUGUUCCUGAUGGGGAUGACCAGUGGCAAUGUAGAGAGGGAUCUAUUCGAGGUCUAGGUUCAUUGUGUUUGUGUGGGAAUCCCAGGACUCCCUGAUUAGGGCCCCAGCUGAUGGGGUGGCCUGAUAGUGACUAAAGAGUCAUCCUUAAAGUAUGCCAGUCUCUUGCCCUAACUCAGCUUUUGCAGUCUUUACUUUCAUUAGGUUAGCUUUGGAGUGACUGGGGGAAGUGUGUGGUUGUCUUUCUAUCCUCCUCUCCUUUCUCCCUAUUUCUUUCUUUGAUAGGAGUUUGGGGGGGUAGAAAUGUUGAUUUGUCCUGACCCCCUUUUCUUCACAGCACCACAUCACUAGAUACAGACCAUCUCAACAGGGGCCAAAUUCCACUGGAUAAAUGAGUUUUCCCAUGAGAAUCCAAGAAGCAAGGUGCAAAACUCACAGGCAGAUGUAUAAACUCCCAGGCCCUAUGAGCUGAUGGGAUUCCAUUGCUCAACAAAGGAGGCUUCUUCUUCCAGCAUCCUGGUGUCUCUCAUCCUGGGAGAAUGGGCCUGGUGAGAUGCUAGAGGGAUGAGAUGAGGGGUGAGAUGCUCUACUUGCCUGUUAUAAAGAAGGGGAAGGUGGCCAGAGUAUUGCAGUAAGGUGGGUCUCUCAAGAAUAUUUAAGCUAUCAGGAACAACAAAAUAGACCCCUUUGUGGGCCCCCAUAGGACCUUGCCCUCAACUUGGAUCAACAAUGAUAGAGAGUGUUCCAUCCUCCAAAGGGAGGAUGGACAACAGACUCUAUGCCCCACCUGAGGAAGAUGGGUCCUGAUAUUGGGGCAGCUUGGAAUGUUCCUACUCAUGACCACAGAAUGUGAGCUCAGAUCUACAGGGAUGCAGAGGUCACACAGGCUCCUAAGCUAACUAUGGGGCCCAGAUCACAUCAAAUCAAUUGGGGUUUAUAGUCAACAAUAUUUAUACCACUUUCCCAUAUUUAGGAGCUACUCUCUUCCCUGAUCCAGAUUUCUGGUCCUUUUUCCAGCUAUGACAUCAUCUCCCCAGACAAUAAUUUGGAUCCACUGGCAUAUCAGAUUUCAGGCUCAGGGACAAAAAGAAAAAGGAAACACGCAC